AAUAGAUACCCUGGUAGUCCACGCCGUAAACGAUGUGUGCUAGAAGUCGGGAUAACUCGGUUUCGAAGCUAACGCAUUAAGCACACCGCCUGGGGAGUACGGUCGCAAGGCUGAAACUCAAAAGGAAUUGACGGGGACCCGCGACAAGUGGUGGAGCAUGUGGUUUAAUUCGAUACAACGCGAUGAACCUUACCAAGACUUGACAUACUCGGCAAAACUAUAGAGAUAUAGUGGAGGUUAUCCGAUGUACAGGUGGUGCAUGGUUGUCGUCAGCUCGUGUCGUGAGAUGUUGGGUUAAGUCCCGCAACGAGCGCAACCCCUAUCUUUAUUUGCUAACAUUAAGUUGAGGACUAUAGAGAGACUGCCUACGCAAGUAGGAGGAAGGUGGGGAUGACGUCAAAUCAUCAUGCCCCUUAUGUCUUGGGCUACACACGUGCUACAAUGGCCGGUACAAAGGGCUGCAAACUGGUGACAGUAAGCAAAAUCCCAUAAAAGCCGGUCUAAGUUUCGGAUUAGAAGUCUGCAACUCGACUUCA
rnacentral:rRNA from 1 species